rnacentral:rRNA from 1 species
UGCUGUAGUUAGAAAGUUUGUAGCCGUAUUGAUGUUGCUGUGAGGAAAAGAGGAUUUUUAUGAUCUACUCAAACUUGCAGUACACUUGAUAAUAGAAGCGGAUGGAGGUAAUUGUAUUCAGUAGCGAGAGGUGAAAAUUGAAGACCUACUGAGGACAUUCAGAAGCGAAAGCGAUUACCUAGUACGCCUUUGAUGGUAAAGAACGUUAGCCGGAGGAUCAAAGAUGAUUAGAUACCGUUGUAGUUCCGGCCGUAAACGAUGCCUACUUGUGAUAUCCAUUUGGAUGAAACAUAGAGAAAUUAAGAGUGUAUGGGCUCUAGGGAUAGUAAUCCGGCAACGGACAAACUUAAAGAAAUUGACGGAAGGACACCACAAGGAGUGGAUUCUGCGGCUCAAUUUGACUCAACCCGGGACAACUUACCAGGGCCGGUACACGUGAGAUUGUCUUACUUGACGUAAAACAAGAUUGUGUACAGAGUGGUGCAUGGCCGUUUUCAACACGUGGGGCGACCUGUCAGGUUUAUUCCGGUAACGUGUGAGAUCGCAGCUGCAAUAUUAUUGUGGGACUGCUGGUUCUAAGCCAGAGGAAGAGCGACGAUAACAGGUCAGUGAUGCCCUCAGAUGUUCUGGGCUGCACGCGGGAUACAAUGGGUGACUCAACAACAAAUUAGAUGAAAGGUCACCCGAAGCUGGGAUCAUCCUUUGUAAAUAGGAUGUGAACUUGGAAUCCCUAGUAAUCGUAAGUCAUUAAGUUACGAUGAAUACGUCCCUGUUCUUUGUACACACCGCCCGUCGCUAUCUAAGAUGGAUGUUGAGAUGAAGUCGCUGCUUAAAUGAGAGGUGCCUGAGUCUCGAUGUCUAGAUAAGAUAUAAGUCGUAACAAGGCUGCUAUAGAAGAAUCUGUGGCAGGAUCAUAAACAAACUAAUUAACUAAAAUUUUCAAUACUUGCUGGUAAGGGAUCGCUAGGGUUCUGUAUCGAGGAAGGACGCAGAUGAAUGCGAUACUGGGGCUCAACUUCAGUAUACCUCGUUUCCGAAUACAAUGUAGAAUACUCUCAGAACUUAAGCAUAUCAUUAUGAGAAGGAGAAGAAAUUAACUAAGAUUCCCGUAGUAGUGGCGAAUGAACUGGGACCAGUCCUGAUGGUAAGCAUUUGCUUGCAUUGUGUGGAUUUUAUAAAAUGGGAUUGAAUACUCAGCCAUAGCGGGUGAUAGCCCCGUUCUUAAAUACUGGAAUUGAAUAGCCCUGCUUGGUAAUGCAGGGUGAAGAGGUGGUAGAGAUCAUCUAAGACUAAAUAUAGCAGAACACCGAUAGCAUACAAGUACUGCGAAGGAAAGACAAAUAGAAGCUCGAAGGGGCAAUGAAAAGUGAAAUUACCAGCAAGGAAGGCAAUUAUCUGU